rnacentral:tRNA from 1 species
CCUGGUAGCUCAGUCAGUAAAGAAUCUGCCUGCAGAGCAGGAGACCCAGGUUCGAUCCCUGGGUCAGGA